rnacentral:rRNA from 1 species
UACGAAGGGGGCUAGCGUUGCUCGGAAUUACUGGGCGUAAAGCGCACGUAGGCGGGUCAUUAAGUCGGGGGUGAAAUCCUGGAGCUCAACUCCAGAACUGCCUUCGAAACUGAUGAUCUUGAGUUCGGGAGAGGUGAGUGGAACUGCGAGUGUAGAGGUGAAAUUCGUAGAUAUUCGCAAGAACACCAGUGGCGAAGGCGGCUCACUGGACCGACACUGACGCUGAGGCGCGAAAAGCGUGGGGAGCAAACAGGG